rnacentral:rRNA from 1 species
CACGUAGGCACCAAGCGUUGUCCGGAUUUAUUGGGCGUAAAGAGCUCGUAGGCGGUUCGAUAAGUCGGGUGUGAAAACUUUGGGCUUAACCCAAAGCGUGCAUUCGAUACUGUUGUGACUAGAGUUCGGUAGGGGAGUGGGGAAUUCCUAGUGUAGCGGUGAAAUGCGCAGAUAUUAGGAGGAACACCGGUGGCGAAGGCGCCACUCUGGGCCGAAACUGACGCUGAGGAGCGAAAGCAUGGGGAGCGAACAGG